UGCUGCUUCGCUGACGAGUGGCGGACGGGUGAGUAAUGUCUGGGAAACUGCCUGAUGGAGGGGGAUAACUACUGGAAACGGUAGCUAAUACCGCAUAACGUCGCAAGACCAAAGAGGGGGACCUUCGGGCCUCUUGCCAUCGGAUGUGCCCAGAUGGGAUUAGCUAGUAGGUGGGGUAACGGCUCACCUAGGCGACGAUCCCUAGCUGGUCUGAGAGGAUGACCAGCCACACUGGAACUGAGACACGGUCCAGACUCCUACGGGAGGCAGCAGUGGGGAAUAUUGCACAAUGGGCGCAAGCCUGAUGCAGCCAUGCCGCGUGUAUGAAGAAGGCCUUCGGGUUGUAAAGUACUUUCAGCGGGGAGGAAGGCGAUAAGGUUAAUAACCUUGUCGAUUGACGUUACCCGCAGAAGAAGCACCGGCUAACUCCGUGCCAGCAGCCGCGGUAAUACGGAGGGUGCAAGCGUUAAUCGGAAUUACUGGGCGUAAAGCGCACGCAGGCGGUCUGUCAAGUCGGAUGUGAAAUCCCCGGGCUCAACCUGGGAACUGCAUUCGAAACUGGCAGGCUAGAGUCUUGUAGAGGGGGGUAGAAUUCCAGGUGUAGCGGUGAAAUGCGUAGAGAUCUGGAGGAAUACCGGUGGCGAAGGCGGCCCCCUGGACAAAGACUGACGCUCAGGUGCGAAAGCGUGGGGAGCAAACAGGAUUAGAUACCCUGGUAGUCCACGCCGUAAACGAUGUCGACUUGGAGGUUGUGCCCUUGAGGCGUGGCUUCCGGAGCUAACGCGUUAAGUCGACCGCCUGGGGAGUACGGCCGCAAGGUUAAAACUCAAAUGAAUUGACGGGGGCCCGCACAAGCGGUGGAGCAUGUGGUUUAAUUCGAUGCAACGCGAAGAACCUUACCUACUCUUGACAUCCAGAGAACUUUCCAGAGAUGGAUUGGUGCCUUCGGGAACUCUGAGACAGGUGCUGCAUGGCUGUCGUCAGCUCGUGUUGUGAAAUGUUGGGUUAAGUCCCGCAACGAGCGCAACCCUUAUCCUUUGUUGCCAGCGGUUCGGCCGGGAACUCAAAGGAGACUGCCAGUGAUAAACUGGAGGAAGGUGGGGAUGACGUCAAGUCAUCAUGGCUCUUACGAGUAGGGCUACACACGUGCUACAAUGGCGCAUACAAAGAGAAGCGACCUCGCGAGAGCAAGCGGACCUCAUAAAGUGCGUCGUAGUCCGGAUUGGAGUCUGCAACUCGACUCCAUGAAGUCGGAAUCGCUAG
rnacentral:rRNA from 1 species